GGCAAUGGCCGUUGGUUUGGUAGUGGUUUUGUGUCGUUUUUGUAUUAUUUCUUUAUUUUCUAAUAUUUCUUUAAGUGUUACUGGUUAAGUUAAUUGUGGUCUGUGAACUACACAUAUUUAAGUACUUUGUGGACAAUUUAUUAUUUGCGUAGUUCUCAGGAACUGGCAAUUAAAAUGCUGUGAACUCAGUGUACAGUUACUACUUGUCAAAAUAGCCUAGAAAAGGCUAAAAAUUUGGAAAAAUUAUUAAAUUUCAUGCUUUCCCGAAGAAUACCGAAAUUACUCAAAUAUGGGUGCAGAUUCAAAGGGUGUAGAGUUGUAGAGAUGGAAAAUGGAAUGUAGAAACUUGUAGGAUUUGUUCAGAUCAUUUUACCGAUGACGAUUAUGAAAGAGAUCUUCAAGUAAGAGGAAUUAUUAGGACUUGGAAACUAAGAAAAACAUUAAAAGCAAUUGUUAUAUAGGUAUGAGUAGAAUCUUAUGUAAAAG